rnacentral:lncRNA from 1 species
CUCUCCCAGCGCUCACCGGUCCUUCCAGCAGUCCUCAGGUUGCACGCGACCGGCAGUGAGCUUCCACUGGGUAGGGGUGGGAAGCCGGUGGCUCCGGGCAGCGGUGAUAACCCAGCAAGGAAGCAGAGUCGCAUUUCGGAGCGUCCACUCGUAACGCGGCCUCUCGCACACGGAGCUCGUAGUCCAGGGGAGAGGAGGCCAGGGCGGCCCUGGAGAGGUUGUAGGUGCAGCGGAUCGGCCGUAGAGACCCCGUCGGACUCAGGAAGGCACUGUCAGCCGCUCGGAGCGGAACCCCUUUCCCAGACAGUAGAGUCACCCCUCCCCCUCCGGGGACCGUUACUGGUCGCCUCCUGAAGGAUCAAUCUGGGAUUGUCCGCUAAAGUGGCCUUAGGCACCGUUAGUCUAGGGCUCGCUGGCUUGUGGCCUCAGAAGUACCACAACAGGACUACUUAAUCCUUAGAGGAUGUACAGCCAAACAAGGUGACUAGCCAUCGGCCAGGAGAGCUUAUUAAAAGAUUUCAUUUCUUGGGCAUCCAGGCUUCAUAUGGUCUGUGAAUUGAAACUUGGGUAUUCCAAACUUUUGGGCUAAUAUCCACUUAUCAGGAGGAGUCAAAAUAAAAACUAAUGUUACUUUGCAAAAGAUGACAAAGCUUUUGAAAGUCAAAAUUCCCAAGCCGGUGACCAUUGGAGAAGCCGGGCCAGCAUUUUGUUGACUAUUAUGCUAUGAGUCUCUAACCUGCUACCCUCUGAACUGAGACCUCAAGUGCCGGCCCUGAAAAGGAAGAAAAAGGAUGACUUGGAAGCAGGGCUGCGGAGAAGCACCUCAGCAGGCAGAGGCCAGGUUUUGAUCGCAUGCUGCUCUGUGUCCUGGGGCCUUUGCAAACCAACCCAGCACUACAGAAAAACAAGUCCAGUAAUGGAAUGCUUUAAAAGCUGGAUACAAUGUCUCAUACCUGCGCUUGGGAAGCUGAAGCAGGAGGACUGCUGAAAGUCUGAGACCAGCCUGGGCUACAAGUGAGACUGUCUCAAAAAACAACCCCCCCCCCCAAAAUGCAAAACCAAAACGAGAAAGAAAAAGAAUAACACGA